rnacentral:rRNA from 1 species
UACGAAGGGGGCUAGCGUUGCUCGGAAUUACUGGGCGUAAAGGGCGCGUAGGCGGACAGUUUAGUCAGAGGUGAAAGCCCAGGGCUCAACCUUGGAAUAGCCUUUGAUACUGGCUGUCUUGAGUUCGGGAGAGGUGAGUGGAAUGCCGAGUGUAGAGGUGAAAUUCGUAGAUAUUCGGAGGAACACCUGCGGCGAAGGCGGGUUGCUGGGCUGACACUGACGCUGAUGCGCGAAAGCCAGGGGAGCGAACGGG